rnacentral:rRNA from 1 species
GGUCAAGUGAAGAAGCGCAUACGGUGGAUGCCUUGGCAGUCAGAGGCGAUGAAAGACGUGGUAGCCUGCGAAAAGCUUCGGGGAGUCGGCAAACAGACUUUGAUCCGGAGAUGUCUGAAUGGGGGAACCCAGCCAUCAUAAGAUGGUUAUCUUGUACUGAAUACAUAGGUGCAAGAAGCGAACCAGGGGAACUGAAACAUCUAAGUACCCUGAGGAAAAGAAAUCAACCGAGAUUCCCUUAGUAGUGGCGAGCGAACGGGGACUAGCCCUUAAGUGGCUUUGAGAUUAGCGGAACGCUCUGGAAAGUGCGGCCAUAGUGGGUGAUAGCCCUGUACGCGAAAAUCUCUUAGUCAUGAAAUCGAGUAGGACGGAGCACGAGAAACUUUGUCUGAAUAUGGGGGGACCAUCCUCCAAGGCUAAAUACUACUGACUGACCGAUAGUGAACUAGUACCGUGAGGGAAAGGCGAAAAGAACCCCGGAGAGGGGAGUGAAAUAGAUCCUGAAACCGUAUGCGUACAAGCAGUGGGAGCCCACUUUGUUGGGUGACUGCGUACCUUUUGUAUAAUGGGUCAGCGACUUAUUUUCAGUGGCGAGCUUAACCGAAUAGGGGAGGCGUAGCGAAAGCGAGUCUUAAUAGGGCGUCUAGUCGCUGGGAAUAGACCCGAAACCGGGCGAUCUAUCCAUGGGCAGGUUGAAGGUUGGGUAACACUAACUGGAGGACCGAACCGACUACCGUUGAAAAGUUAGCGGAUGACCUGUGGAUCGGAGUGAAAGGCUAAUCAAGCUCGGAGAUAGCUGGUUCUCCUCGAAAGCUAUUUAGGUAGCGCCUCAUGUAUCACUGUAGGGGGUAGAGCACUGUUUCGGCUAGGGGGUCAUCCCGACUUACCAAACCGAUGCAAACUCCGAAUACCUACAAGUGCCGAGCAUGGGAGACACACGGCGGGUGCUAACGUCCGUCGUGAAAAGGGAAACAACCCAGACCGUCAGCUAAGGUCCCAAAGUUAUGGUUAAGUGGGAAACGAUGUGGGAAGGCUUAGACAGCUAGGAGGUUGGCUUAGAAGCAGCCACCCUUUAAAGAAAGCGUAAUAGCUCACUAGUCGAGUCGGCCUGCGCGGAAGAUGUAACGGGGCUCAAACCAUACACCGAAGCUACGGGUAUCACGUAAGUGAUGCGGUAGAGGAGCGUUCUGUAAGCCUGUGAAGGUGAGUUGAGAAGCUUGCUGGAGGUAUCAGAAGUGCGAAUGCUGACAUGAGUAACGAUAAUGGGUGUGAAAAACACCCACGCCGAAAGACCAAGGUUUCCUGCGCAACGUUAAUCGACGCAGGGUUAGUCGGUCCCUAAGGCGAGGCUGAAAAGCGUAGUCGAUGGAAAACAGGUUAAUAUUCCUGUACUUCUGGUUAUUGCGAUGGAGGGACGGAGAAGGCUAGGCCAGCUUGGCGUUGGUUGUCCAAGUUUAAGGUGGUAGGCUGGAAUCUUAGGUAAAUCCGGGAUUCUAAGGCCGAGAGCUGAUGACGAGUUA